UGGAUGGCGACCGGCGCACGGGUGCGUAACGCGUAUGCAACCUACCCACAACAGGGGGAAAGCCCGGGGAAACCCGGAUUAAUACCCCAUAAUGCUAUAGAUCCGCAUGGUGAAAUAGUUAAAGAUUUAUUGGUUGUGGAUGGGCAUGCGUCUGAUUAGUUAGUUGGUCAGGUAACGGCUCACCAAGACGACGAUCAGUAGGGGGUCUGAGAGGAUGAUCCCCCACACUGGUACUGAGACACGGACCAGACUCCUACGGGAGGCAGCAGUAGGGAAUAUUGGUCAAUGGGGGCAACCCUGAACCAGCCAUGCCGCGUGCAGGAAGACGGCCUUCUGGGUUGUAAACUGCUUUUAUACAGGAAGAAAUAGGCCCUGCGGGGCCAGUUGACGGUACUGUAUGAAUAAGCACCGGCUAACUCCGUGCCAGCAGCCGCGGUAAUACGGAGGGUGCAAGCGUUGUCCGGAUUCACUGGGUUUAAAGGGUACGUAGGCGGCUAUUUAAGUCAGUGGUGAAAUGUGUCGGCUCAACCGGCAACGUGCCAUUGAUACUGAAUAGCUGGAGUGUUGUAUAGGUGGGCGGAAUUGAUGGUGUAGCGGUGAAAUGCAUAGAUACCAUCAAGAACACCAAUUGCGAAGGCAGCUCACUGGGCAACAACUGACGCUGAGGUACGAAAGCGUGGGGAGCGAACAGGAUUAGAUACCCUGGUAGUCCACGCUGUAAACGAUGAUCACUCGGUGCUUGUAUUUAUAUAUGAGUGCCCAAGGGAAACCGAUAAGUGAUCCACCUGGGGAGUACGCUCGCAAGAGUGA
rnacentral:rRNA from 1 species